AGAGUUUGAUGUCCUCACAUCGAUUGGUGUCAGAGUUGGGAUCUAGCGUCUCUCUCGGUCGGGUGUCGACUCGAAUCAGAAACUCCCUCCUUCCCGAAACCUGCGUGUAAUAGUUCUUCGCAGCUUGAAUACGAAAAUAGCGAUUAAAGAUCACUCUCUUAAGACCUUAGAUCCAUUUAUCCAGCUAGCGCGGCGGAAGGUGGAAGGGAAGAUGCAGCUGCCCCAUAAGGCUAUCAUACCGUACCCCUCCCUCCCCCCCCCCAGUUAAUACUGUGACUACGUCCACUAACUACUUGGGGUAGUAAGAAUUCAUCACCAGACCACUACCAGCCUGGGGUUAUUACAUUUCCAAGAAUUCAUCACCAGACCACUACCAACCUGGGGUUAUUACAUUUCCAAGAAUUCAUCACCAGACCACUACCAACCUGGGGUUAUUACAUUUCCAAGAAUUCAUCACCAGACCACUACCAGCCUGGGGUAAUUACAUUUCCAAGAAUUCAUCGCCAGACCACUACCAACCUGGGGUUAUUACAUUUUCAAGAAUUCAUCACCAGACCACUACCAACCUGGGGUAAUUACAUUUCCAAGAAUUCAUCACCAGACCACUACCAACCUGGGGUUAUUACAUUUCCAAGAAUUCAUCACCAGACCACUACCAACCUGGGGUAAUUACAUUUCCAAGAAUUCAUCACCAGACCACUACCAACCUGGGGUAAUUACAUUUCCAAGAAUUCAUCACCAGACCACUACCAACCUGGGGUAAUUACAUUUCCAAGAAUUCAUCACCAGACCACUACCUACCUGGGGUAACUACAUUUCCAAGAAUUCAUCACCAGACCACUACCUACCUGGGGGUAAUUACAUUUCCAAGAAUUCAUCACCAGACCACUACCAGCCUGGGGUAAUUACAUUUCCAAGAAUUCAUCACCAGACCACUACCAACCUGGGGUAAUUACAUUUCCAAGAAUUCAUUACCAGACCACUACCAACCUGGGGUAAUUACAUUUCCAAGAAUUUAGCACCAGGCCACUACCUACUUGGGGUUAUUACAUUUCCAAGAAUUCAUCACCAGACCACUACCUACCUGAGGUAAUUACAUUUUCAAGAAUUCAUCACCAGACCACUACCAACCUGGGGUAAUUACAUUUCCAAGAACUUCGCACCAGACCACUACCUACUUGGGGUAAUUACAUUUCCAAGAAUUCAGCACCUGACCACUACCAACCUGGGGUAAUUACAUUUCCAAGAAUUCAUCACCAGACCACUACCUACCUAGGGUAAUUGCAUUUUCAAGAAUUCAGCAGCAGACCAUUGCCUACUUCGGGUAAUCACAAUUCUGUACCAGACCACUACCUUUGGUUUUUCACAAUUCUAAGAAUUUCGUACCAGACCACUACCUUGGGGUUUUCACAAUUCUAAGAAUUUCGUACCAGACCACUACCUUGGGGUUUUUACAAUUGAAAUAAUUCUGUACCAGACCACUACCUAACUAGGUUUGGGUUUUAACAUUUGUAAUGUUCCGAUAACUCGAGACCCCAAUAACAAUCCAACUACUGUAGAUUUACCUUGGGUUCGAGUUUUGGUAUUUUUUUUUUACAAAGCUCAGUCUUUCAUUGUAAAAUUAAAGACCCUUAGGAAAGUACUAGAAUAACCUUGAAUUAAGAAAGUGUAUGAGUUAAACAUCGACGUUAAAGAUCCCUUGUCGGCCAUACCUUGGUGAUUGUUUUCAAACAAUAUUGGAAUCAAAUAUUGAUAGAAAUCUCAAAAUAACCACGAAAAAUAUAAUAUUUGUUGACCAAAUUAAAUAGAAAAUACAGCGUAAGACAAUAGCUUAUCCAAAUCAGCCGAUGGAAAUAUAUGCUUUCCCAAACAUGGUAUACUUACGUAGGAUGUCAAAAUGGCGAGGACAGAUGCUUGUAAAUAACGUGAAAAUGUUGGCCUUAGGGGUAGGACAUCUUAGUGUUCUUGUAAAUGACAAACUCCCGCAAGCAAUAACCAAAAUAUAAUUUUCUAGCCUUGAAACAGCGUUAAUGCUAAUUUUUGUUGCAGGCAAAGCGGGUAUUAAUCAAAGCAAACAAAACAAUAAGCCAGUUUUACUUUCAAAACAGGGUUUUUGUCAAGAGGAAAAUAAGUAUAAAUGAUUGCCCUGCCCUCUGAAAGCCACUGAUGGAGGUAACCUGUCAUUGCUAUUUAGUUAUACCACAUCUCAAUAAAGAAAGAAAUAUCGUGAAAGACCACAAGUAAAUGACGAUGCAUUUAGUACUUUCUUUUUAUUAAAUAAACAAUUAUUUCUGCAAA